GCCCAGGUAGCUCAGUCGGUAGAGCAGAGGAUUGAAAAUCCUCGUGUCGGUGGUUCGAUUCCGCCUCCGGGCACCA
rnacentral:tRNA from 1 species